AUUGAACGCUGGCGGCAGGCCUAACACAUGCAAGUCGAGCGGAUGAAGGGAGCUUGCUCCUGGAUUCAGCGGCGGACGGGUGAGUAAUGCCUAGGAAUCUGCCUGGUAGUGGGGGAUAACGUCCGGAAACGGGCGCUAAUACCGCAUACGUCCUGAGGGAGAAAGUGGGGGAUCUUCGGACCUCACGCUAUCAGAUGAGCCUAGGUCGGAUUAGCUAGUUGGUGGGGUAAAGGCCUACCAAGGCGACGAUCCGUAACUGGUCUGAGAGGAUGAUCAGUCACACUGGAACGGAGACACGGUCCGGCCUACUGCGGGGGGCAGAGGGGGGAAAUAUGGAAAAGGGGGCAAAGUCCGGAUCCCGCCAGGCGGGUGGUGGAAAGAAGGUCUUGGGAUUGAAAAGCAUUUUAAGUGGGGGGAAAGGGAAAUAAGUUAAUACCUUGCUGUUUUGAGGUUACCAAAAGAAUAAGCACGGACAAACUCCGUG
rnacentral:rRNA from 1 species